rnacentral:rRNA from 1 species
GGGUGCGAUCAUACCAGCAAUAAUGCACCGGAUCCCAUCAGAACUCCGAAGUUAAGCUUGCUUGGGCGAGAGCAGUACUGGAUGGGUGACCUCCUGGGAAGUCCUCGUGUUGCACCCCUC